UGUCUUCUUCUUCCUUCUUCCCUCUCAUAUUUCUUCAAUUCCUCCAUGAGAGCUUUCUUCAAGCUUCCAUAACUUUCUCUCUCUAGCUACAAUUUUCAUGCUUUUGGUGCACCCUUCCAUAAACCCUUGUGCUAUUUCAUCCUCUCACUUUAAAACCCUUGAUAAAUCUCAAUUCUGUACUUUCUCUCACUAGCUAGACAUUUUAGAGAGAGAAAGAGAGAAUUACCCCAUUGAUUUGGAAGCAAUUGGAAGAGAAUUUGACUACAAAGGAGCCCUAGGGUAAGUGAUGAAUUAAGCUUGGUUUUUAGCUGUAGAAAAUGGCUAGUAAUUGGGAUUUAUGAGCUGUUUUGUUGUUGACUAUGUUCAUUAUUUUUUUUGUGAUUAAAAUAGUGAACAUAGAUAGCCAUUUAAUGUGGCAAUUGAAAGCUAGCUAAGAGAUAGCUUUUAGGGUUCAUAGUGUGUAAAUUGACCUAUUGCUUAUGCUAAUGUGAUCCUAGGUUCUAAAGAAGCCCCAUCAUCUCAUUUGGACAAUUAGGGGAAUUAGAGUCAUCUAAAGGCUCUACAAUCAGUUGGUGAGUGGACUGCCUUCAAAACUUGUUUUGAGAAAUAUAAUGUAUUUGCCACCCAUUUGAAUGAAUUAUCAAGUUUUUCACAAAGACAAGUGCCUUGGGAACAAGCUUUUGCAAAAUGGUUUUAUAUUGUGAUAUGCGAUUACUAUGGAUUCAUGCACUAUUGUAGUAUGAUGAUAUAUAAAUGUGUGUGUUGUGCAUGAUGAAUGAUAUUGUGUAUAAUGACUGUAACUAUGUGUGUGCAUGAUGUGGGGGGAUGCACAUACCGGUGAUAAUGGUGGUGUGAGAGAUGGAUGAUGAUAGUGCCCAUGUACACGAUGUGGGGGGAUGUACACGAUGGCACUGAUUGUGCACGAUGUGGGGGGAUACACACGAUGGUGCCGGCUAUGUGCACGAUGUGGGGAGAUGUACGUGAGCCGAGUGUGAUUAUGAUGAUGUUGAUGUUUAUCUAUGUAAUUAUGCAUAUCUAGACUUAUGAAAUGAAAACUUAUGAAGUGAUAUAUGAUCGACAUAUAUGAGAAAUUUGAUACAUUGUACUUUGAGAAUUUUCAUGUGAUGUAUGUUGAUUUUGUUGGUUUAACAGGAUGGCCUUUUUGUUGAGUGAGGGGAAACUUUUCUCUUGUUGCUCUGUUUUCGCUGCAGCGAAAUUCAUUCUCGCUGCAGUGAGAAACUCUCGGGUUUGAGAACCUUCACCAGAACUGGUUCUCGCUGCAGCAAGAAUGUAUUUCACUGCAGCAAGAUAGUCAAUGUAGCUUCUCGCUACAACGAAAAGGAAUCUUACUGCAGCAAAAAACUCUCUGUUUCAUUAGCUGAAUUUUGCUGCAGCGAGAAACCUUUUAUUUCUGGGUUAUAAUUUCGCUGCAGUGAGAAAAAAUCUCGUUGCAGCAAAAAAUCUUCUGUUUUGGUCUCCUAUCUUGUCCAAUUGCUGCCCUAUCUUUCACUUCUUUGCUACCAUAUCGGAGCAUGGACUUCCAACAUUAAGGAUUAAAUGAGUUAAGUUUAAAAUGGGGAGGUUUACUGAGAAACCCUCGGCCAAUUGAGAAACCCUUGUUCGGUUAAUAACUAAAUCCCAACGUCGCUGCAGCGAGAAUGCCUUUCCGCUGCAGUGAAGAUUCAUUGUCGUAUUUGACUUGCUUGUGUAAUAUUGAAGUUUUCAUUCUUCAAAUGAUUCGUUAUGUAUGGGUCCAUGAUUUUCAAAUGAUUAAUCAUUCAAGGGCUUGAUGAGGGGUUUUUAACAAGAAUAGAAACAAAUUGCAUUGUUUUGAAAAAGAAUGCAUCAUGAUUUCAUUAAAGAUUCCUUAUGGUAUGCUUGUUCCCUUUCUUGUUCACUCACUAGGUUUAUACUCACCUUUUUUAACUUCAUGUUUUUAGAUCACGAGGCAGCAGGUAACUAGGAUGAGGUGUCCUUGUAGACUUAUAUCCAUCUUUUGGUAGGUGUCUCGGCAUUCAGUAGCUAUACAUUCAUCCGAGUCCCUCCGCUAGAAGUCGAUUAUUAUUUUGUUGUGUAUAGACGAACCUAAUGUAAAUCGUUAAGAUACAUGUUGUAGACAAUGUAUAUACACUUGUUUGGUAGCCAGUAUGAGAUGGCAAUGUGUAGUAUUAUUUUGAACUCUAAGUUAUGAAAUAUGACUUAGCAGUUUAUGAUUGAAUGAUAAACAUGUCAUAAUAAUAGGCUUGCUUGGGCUUAGUGGACUAUGUCCAUUGGGUCCAUACACCGAUCAUGGUCCGGAAUUUGGGUCGUGACAAUGGGAAUGGAAAAAGAUAGAAAUUGUUAUUAUUACUUAUUCCAUUA
rnacentral:lncRNA from 1 species